rnacentral:lncRNA from 1 species
GAAGUCAUACAGAUGGACCUAAAUAUGGAUAUCAACAUCGACAGCAAGAUGUACAGGUGAGUCCUCUUGUAACAUUCUUUAAUGUACUUCUAUUUUAUUAUUAAUUCCUGUACACUCUGAACCGAAUUUGUUGCAAAAUAAAGUCAAUCAUGUUCUCUUAUACGCACACACAACAGAACAGCAACCUCUACAUGGUGCGAAGCCUACUGCAACAAAAACGUGAUCUUAGUGUCUUUGCAACUCAGCACACUCUACCAGCAGCACUGACAGCUGAUAGAUAAGACUGCUGUCAUCCAUUGAAGAGCUGACCAGAAACGUGAACAGAAAGACUGCAGCUGCACCUGAUGGGAUCCCUGCCAUAACAGAUGUCUUCUGUCCAGUGAAGGCAGUGGAGAAGCCCUACACUGAUGUUGAAACUGUGCCACUCUUCUAGAAACCGGCUACAAGGAUGGGCAGCCGUUUUCGCAAAGUCAGCCAACCUCUUGCUUCCAAAUGACCCUUAUCCAGAAGUAUCUGUGAGUGCCUCAUCAGCAGAAACUAAAGUGGAGAACUACCUCUCAGAGAAAAACGCACACAUAAGAAAAGCGACGCACUUCAGUACUGGAAAGAACAUCCUAAUCUGUUUCCCUCUAUGGCUGCUGUUGCGAUCCCAGUGUGCCCCCUGUAGCUCUGUGGACAGUUUUUGAUUUGUUUACAUCUCACCCAACCGGUCACGGUAGAUGGCUGCACCUCCCUGAGCCUGGUUCUGCCAGAGGUUUCUUCCUGUCAAAAGGGAGUUUUUCCCUUCCUACUGUCGCCAAAGUGCUUGCUCAUAGGGGGUCAUAUGAUUGUUGGGUUUAUCUAUAUACAUUAAUGCUUGUAUGCUUUUCAUUUAUACUUUUGCUUUACUCUUCAGUUCAUAAUAUAAAGUUACUUGAAUGGUUUCUUUUUCCUUUUUUUAUCUUAUAUUGCUUUGCUGUUUACCACAAUCUAAAUAUCAUGUUUAAAUGUAUUACAUUAUUGUCAAUGGUAUUUGUACAAAAUAUAGUUUGAAUAAGAUA